UGAGCUUUGCGUGAAGGCGGAAGGUGCUA
rnacentral:piRNA from 1 species